UACAGAGGGGGCAAGCGUUGUUCGGAAUUACUGGGCGUAAAGGGCGCGUAGGCGGCCUGCUAAGUCGAACGUGAAAUCCCCGGGCUCAACCCGGGAACUGCGUCCGAUACUGGCGGGCUCGAAUCCGGGAGAGGGAUGUGGAAUUCCAGGUGUAGCGGUGAAAUGCGUAGAUAUCUGGAGGAACACCGGUGGCGAAGGCGGCAUCCUGGACCGGUAUUGACGCUGAGGCGCGAAAGCCAGGGGAGCAAACGGG
rnacentral:rRNA from 1 species